AUGGGAAAUGCCCUACCUUUGAAAUCUACUUCAACCGAUAUGCCCUUAGGCACGGCCAUGCAUAACAUAGAAAUCACACGUGGAAGGGGUGGGCAAUUAGCUAGAGCAGCAGGUGCUGUAGCGAAACUCAUUGCAAAAGAGGGUAAAUCGGCCACUUUAAGAUUACCAUCUGGGGAGGUCCGUUUAGUAUCCCAAAACUGCUUAGCAACAGUCGGACAAGUGGGUAAUGUUGGGGUGAACCAAAAAAGUUUGGGUAGAGCCGGAUCUAAGUGUUGGCUAGGGAAACGCCCCGUAGUAAGAGGGGUAGUUAUGAACCCUGUGGGCAACCCCCAUGGGGGUGGUGAAGGGAAAGCUCCCAUUGGUAGAAAAAAACCCACAACCCCUUGGGGUUAUCCCGCGCUUGGAAGAAGAACUAGGAAAAGGAAAAAAAAUAUAGCGAUAGUUUUAUCCUUCGUCGCUCUCUGA
rnacentral:rRNA from 1 species